rnacentral:rRNA from 1 species
UACGAAGGGGCUAGCGUUGCUCGGAAUCACUGGGCGUAAAGGGUGCGUAGGCGGGUCUUUAAGUCAGGGUGAAUCCUGGAGCUCAACUCCAGAACUGCCUUUGAUACUGAGGAUCUUAGUCGGUGAGAGGUGAGUGGAACUGCAGUGUAGAGGUGAAAUUCGUGAGAUAUUCGCAAGAACACCAGUGGCGAAGGCGGCUCACUGGCCCGAUACUGACGCUGAGGCACGAAAGCGUGGGGAGCAACAGGG